GUAGGGAAUAUUGGGCAAUGGGUGCAAGCCUGACCCAGCCAUCCCGCGUGCCGGAUGAAGGCCCUCUGGGUCGUAAACGGCUUUUGACGGUGAAGAACCGAAAGGGUGCGCCCUUUUUUGACGGUAGCCGUUGAAUAAGCACCGGCUAACUCCGUGCCAGCAGCCGCGGUAAUACGGAGGGUGCGAGCGUUGUCCGGAUUUAUUGGGUUUAAAGGGUGCGUAGGCUGGAGGGACAGUCAGCGGUGAAAAGCAGUUGCUCAACAAUUGUCUUGCCGCAGAUACUACCUUUCUUGGAUUGGGAGGAGGUUACCGGAACGGAUGGUGUAGCGGUGAAAUGCAUAGAUAUCAUCCAGAACGCCAAUUGCGAAGGCAGGUAACUGUACCUAUAUCGACGCUGAUGCACGAAAGCAUGGGUAGCGAACAGGAUUAGAUACCCUUGUAGUCC
rnacentral:rRNA from 1 species